rnacentral:lncRNA from 1 species
AUGAGGAAUCCAAGUAGAAUGGAGCAUGGAGACAGUGGAGCACAGGGGUACGUGGAGUGGAUAGAUGGAGCGGCUAACAGUAAUAGCAGAGGAGGAGUGAGUUCUGUGAUCCUACGAACAUGCUGCUCACGUGACCAGUCACAAUUGUCUGCUGUAAAUAAAAUAAACUUCCCAAAUUGAUUCUUAUUAUUGUGUGAAAUGUACUUAAACACUUAUGUAAAAUGUAUACGUAUAAUAUAUAAUCCCAUUUAUUAUCCGAUUGAAAUUCCUGGGUUUAAAAUAUGUGCUAUAAUUGUACAUAAUUAUACGUGAUAAUCAAGUAGCAUAUAUCAGUUUAUACUAGUACAACUUUUAAAACUGUAUUGCAUACCUGCUGCUGCCAUAAUAAAGACCCAUUUCAAAUGUUUUCUGUGCUUUUCUUCUUUCUGCUGUCACUGUGAGCAGUUAUGAAGUAGGCGGUUCUUUGAAAUACUUUCCAGCAUUUGAGAAAUAAACGUGUAUGCAAAUUACACUGAAGUACAACAGGUAACGUACCUUACAGUGUUCUGGAGUGCUCAAAAAGGGUUUAAGCACUGAAUUUUGAAAGGAUUUCUUUGUGUAAACUCAGAUUCAGAAGGCAAUUCAAUUAACACACGCCCUUGGUGUUUGUCAAAAAACAGUAGAUAAUUCAGCCGGGGAUUUUUGAGGGGAUAGUGAGAGAAAAAUUUCUGCUGGAUUCAGACGACAGUUAAAUCACUAACUACCCCCUGUAAAUGGUGAAAAUCACUUAUGUUCCUAUGAGAAACAAUUACCGUCCGAAUAAAGCUAAAGAUUAUACGGGAGGAGUGCAAGGCUAUGGUGCUCUUGAUGAGUGGUCACAGUUGGUGUUGGUUAAUGAUUGGGGGAUUGGGAUCUGGUGAGCGUAGUUGGUGGUUACUGACUCCCUGACAGUAGGCUACUCUUGGUGUAUUCAAGAUUCAAAUCAUGAUAAUUAAUAAAUAAAAAAAGAAAGAAAAAAAAUCUGCAUCUAUCCCACAUGUGCAUUCAAAUGCACAUAAACCCAUGAACACACUUAACUCUUCCUGGGUGAGGUGAAGUUUGAUUGACAGCUGUCACCCCCACAGGUCUUCUAAGACCAUAACAACAGGAGAUAGUUGUGUUACAAGCA